UUGCUCCCUGACGUCAGCGGCGGACGGGUGAGUAACACGUGGGUAACCUGCCUGUAAGACUGGGAUAACUCCGGGAAACCGGGGCUAAUACCGGAUAGUUCUUUUCCCCGCAUGGGGAAGAGUGGAAAGGUGGCUUCGGCUACCACUUACAGAUGGACCCGCGGCGCAUUAGCUAGUUGGUGAGGUAACGGCUCACCAAGGCGACGAUGCGUAGCCGACCUGAGAGGGUGAUCGGCCACACUGGGACUGAGACACGGCCCAGACUCCUACGGGAGGCAGCAGUAGGGAAUCUUCCGCAAUGGACGAAAGUCUGACGGAGCAACGCCGCGUGAGUGAUGAAGGUUUUCGGAUCGUAAAGCUCUGUUGUUAGGGAAGAACAAGUGCCGUUCGAAUAGGGCGGCACCUUGACGGUACCUAACCAGAAAGCCACGGCUAACUACGUGCCAGCAGCCGCGGUAAUACGUAGGUGGCAAGCGUUGUCCGGAAUUAUUGGGCGUAAAGCGCGCGCAGGCGGUCUCUUAAGUCUGAUGUGAAAGCCCACGGCUCAACCGUGGAGGGUCAUUG
rnacentral:rRNA from 1 species